rnacentral:rRNA from 1 species
UACGUAGGGGGCAAGCGUUGUCCGGAAUUAUUGGGCGUAAAGAGCGUGUAGGCGCCAGACAGGUCCGUUGUGAAACUAGAGGCUUAACCUCUAGACGUCGAUGGAAACCGUCUGGCUAGAGUCCGGAAGAGGAGAAUGGAAUUCCUGGUGUAGCGGUGAAAUGCGCAGAUAUCAGGAAGAACACCCGUGGCUAAGGCGGUUCUCUAGUACGGUACUGACGCUGAGACGCGAAAGCGUGGGAGCGAACAGG